GUAAAAUAUCACACAUCAUAUACACAUCAUAGUAUCAUAUCAUUAAAGGAAAUAACAAGCAAGUUUAACUCUAUAUUUAAAUGAGGAGGAUUAAUCACUGGAUGUAAAAUCCUCUAUGGCCAUUGUUAAUUUUUGUUAUAUACCAAAACUAAUACUGAUCCUGGACUCAACCCCGAUGGACCAAUCGAGGUUUGGAACAUCAGAUUGAAUGGAUAGGGAGCAGAGAGAGGGUUUUUAGUAUCUGGAGCAGUUAUCCCAUACUCCCUAAUUUUUGCACCUAAUUCUUCAGCUGAAAGAUCAUCUAAUGCAGCAAGAACAUGCUUCAAUUCUGC
rnacentral:misc_RNA from 1 species